CUAUUUUGCUCUUUGAACUCAAAGAUGAGCAUGGUAGUUCUAUACUUCUAUCUAUCAAUGUUUUCACUUGAUCAAGAAGUGGUGUGGUGACUUUGAUAUCUUCGUUCCUGCAGCACAAGAACAAUCAAGUCAAUUUUAAGCUAUGGUGAGAAGCUCGUACAUAUGGAGAUAUCCAAUUGAUGCCGAUUACAUCUGGAUUGCUUUGAAAACAUAUGCAAUUUGCAUCUAAGGUCUUGAAGGUGAUUCGUUAGAUUGAGAAAUGCACCAGAUUGCAAGAGCUCUCUCAAGUUUACUAUGCUCCUAUUGGACCCUUCGAAUGAUAAGUCAGGGAGCUCUUGGAUUGUGCCCUGCCAAAACCUCCUACAUGUCUAAUUAAUAACACUUUUUUUAUUCCAACUGGUCGAUUGUAGUUUUGGCCUUAAGGAAUGCAAGAAUCAGUUUUGGCUCUAGGAAAAAAAAUGUUGAAGUAUGGACUAUGGAAUAGACUUGUCAUGAGUCAUGGCUAUGACAUUGUUUUUGCCUUUUAUUGUUGCUAUAGUAUAAUCAAAUCAUUGAGCAAA